rnacentral:rRNA from 1 species
AAAACGACUCUCGGCAACGGAUAUCUCGGCUCUCGCAUCGAUGAAGAACGUAGCGAAAUGCGAUACUUGGUGUGAAUUGCAGAAUCCCGUGAACCAUCGAGUUUUUGAACGCAAGUUGCGCCCGAAGCCGUCAGGCCGAGGGCACGCCUGCCUGGGCGUCACGC